rnacentral:rRNA from 1 species
AUUGAACGCUGGCGGCAGGCCUAACACAUGCAAGUCGAACGAGUGGCGGACGGGUGAGUAAUGUCUGGGAAACUGCCUGAUGGAGGGGGAUAACUACUGGAAACGGUAGCUAAUACCGCAUACCAUCGGAUGUGCCCAGAUGGGAUUAGCUAGUAGGUGGGGUAAAGGCUCACCUAGGCGACGAUCCCUAGCUGGUCUGAGAGGAUGACCAGCCACACUGGGACUGAGACACUGUCCAGACUCCUACGGGAGGCAUCAGUGGGGAAGAGUGCUCAAUGGGCGCAAGCCUGAUGCAGCCAUGCCGCGUUGGUGAAGAAGGCGUUCGGGUUGUAAAGUACUUUCAGCAGGGACGCGUUACCCGCACAUGAAGCUCCGGCUAACUCCGUGUCAGCAGCCGCGGUAAUAC